UACGUAGGGUGCAAGCGUUGUCCGGAAUUAUUGGGCGUAAGAGCUCGUAGGCGGUUUGUCGCGUCUGCUGUGAAAACUCGGGGCUUAACCCCGGGCCUGCAGUGGGUACGGGCAGACUAGAGUGCGGUAGGGGAGACUGGAAUUCCUGGUGUAGCGGUGAAAUGCGCAGAUAUCAGGAGGAACACCGGUGGCGAAGGCGGGUCUCUGGGCCGUAACUGACGCUGAGGAGCGAAAGCGUGGGGAGCGAACAGG
rnacentral:rRNA from 1 species